UUUAAAUUGUAUUAAAAAUUUUAAUAAAAAUUAAUAAAUUUAAUUAUAGUUUUAAAGUUAAUUUUUAAAUUUUUUAUAUAUAUAAAUAUUAGAUAUUUAAUAUAAAAGUAAGUAGUAUAUAAAUUUAAUAAAGUUAAAAAUAUUUAAAUUUAGGAAUUUUUAUAAUUUGGAUAAAUAAUUGUGCCAGCAAUCGUGGUUAAACAAUUUAAAUAAAUUAAUUUAAUUAAAUUAAAAUUAAAUGAAUAUUUAUAAUAAAAAUUUAAAUUGUUAGGUGAAAUUAAUUAAUUUAUAAUUAUUAUAUAUUAGUAUAAGUUGAAUUUUUAAAAGAUUUUUGAAAAACUAGGAUUAGAUACCCUAUUAUAAAAUUUAAAGAAUAUAAUUUAAAUAUUAAAUGAUUAAUCAUUAAAUUUAAAUAAUUUGGCGGUAUUUUAAUUUUAUUAGAGGAAUUUGUUAAUUAAUUGAUAUUACCCGAUAAGAUAAACUUUAAUUAAAUUUUUAUAUUGUUGUUUAAAGAGUAUUUUUAUAAAAAUUAUUUAAAAUUUUUUUUUAGAAAAAAAUUCAGAUCAAAAUGAAGUAAAUGUUAAAGAGUUAAUGAGUUACAAUAAAUUUAAUUUAAAUGAAUUUAUAAUUUAAAUAUUAUAAUGAAGGUGGAUUUAAAAGUAAAAUAAAAUAAUUAUUUUAUUUGAUUUAAAUUUUAAAAUAUGUACAAAUUGCCCGUCGUUCUCUUUGAAAAAGGAGGUAAGUCGUAACAAAGUAAAAGUACUGGAAAGUGUUUUUAGAU
rnacentral:ncRNA from 1 species